ensembl:processed_transcript
CAGUUAACAUAUUGAUACAAGACUUAAGUGGGAUUACAGGAGUAUGCCACCAUGCCUAGCUAAAGGGCACUUAUUAUAAAUACUGUUUAUAUUUAGGUUUUAAAUAAAUACUUGCUGUACUAUUUAAAAUAGAUACUUGUUUAUCUUAAUAUAGAUGAUACCAAUAUUUUGAUUCAGAAGUAGUGUGAAUCUAACAUAUCAAUGUAAUUUAGUGCUAAAUAGCCUUAAGCCUAGCUUCUGGCUAUGAUAAUUAAGGAAGUUAUUAAUUUUCCUCAUCCCCACUUCUUAGUCAGCUGAAUUGCAUUGUCAUAGUACCUGACAGAAUUGUUGAUGAAGUGAGUUGAUGUCAGUUGAAUGUUCUUUACAUAGGGCAGACAAGUUGAUCAAUGUUAUAGAAUUGAAGACUCAGAAAUAAAACCACACACUUAUGGACACUUGAUCUUUGAAAAAGAAGCCAAAAAAUAUACAAUGGAAAAAAGAAAGCAUCUUCAAUAAAUGAACUGCAGGGACAAAAAUGGAGAAGAAACUGAGCGAAUGGUGGGCCAGUGACCAGUCCAACUUGGGCUCCAUCUCAAGGCGAGGCUCCAAGACCUGACACUAUUACUAUUACUGAUGCUAUGGUGUGCUCACAGACAGGAGCCUAGCAUGGCUGUCCUCUGAGGCCCAAGAAGCAACUGAUUGAGACAGAAGCAAAUACUUACACACCCA